CCUUCACAGUAAACGAACGACUCCGCAAUCUUCUCCAACCUCCUCCCCUCCUCUCCCGUCUUCCACUCCUCCAACCUCUUCUCCACAUUUUUGCGUGUCUCAACCUCCCUCCACUCACAUCCCGACACGCAUCAAACUACUCGUCUUCUUUUGAACCGCUUUUGUGGCUGCCCGACAGAGGAGUUUCCCGAACCCACCGAGUACACGCAGCAGGACACGGACGGAACGGUGGAUCCGGGGACUGUGAUGAUUGACUUCUCGUACCUACUUUGCCUGUCCUGCAGAGGCUCUCCAGUUGUCAACGACCACGAAUAUGCCUUUAGAAACUCCACAAAAUGAAACGGUUUAGUUUUCUUACUUUCUGGCUUGAAACCUAAAACACGUUUUCAUUAUCUACCAAUCAGGAGUUUAUUU
rnacentral:lncRNA from 1 species